UACUCUUCUCAGCCUUUUGGCUAAGAUCAUGUGUAGUAUCUGUUCUUAUCAGUUUAAUAAAAAGGAAACGCUGACAAAAACCAUAGGAUAGGAGGGGUACAACUCCAC
rnacentral:snRNA from 1 species